AUUGAACGCUGGCGGCAUGCUUUACACAUGCAAGUCGAACGGCAGCGGGGGCUUCGGCCUGCCGGCGAGUGGCGAACGGGUGAGUAAUGCAUCGGAACGUGCCCAGUCAUGGGGGAUAACUACGCGAAAGCGUAGCUAAUACCGCAUACGCCCUGAGGGGGAAAGUGGGGGAUCUUCGGACCUCACGUGAUUGGAGCGGCCGAUGUCAGAUUAGCUAGUUGGUGAGGUAAAGGCUCACCAAGGCGACGAUCUGUAGCGGGUCUGAGAGGAUGAUCCGCCACACUGGGACUGAGACACGGCCCAGACUCCUACGGGGAGGCAGCAGGUGGGGAAUUUUGGACAAUGGGCGCAAGCCUGAUCCAGCCAUGCCGCGUGAGUGAAGAAGG
rnacentral:rRNA from 1 species